rnacentral:miRNA from 1 species
AGAAUUGUGUGUGGACAUCCGU